GAUGAACGCUGGCGGCGUGCCUAAUACAUGCAAGUCGAGCGAACAGAUGCGGAGCUUGCUCCUCUGACGUUAGCGGCGGACGGGUGAGUAACACGUGGAUAACCUACCUCUACGACUUGGAUAACUUCGGGAAACCGUAGCUCAUACCGGAUAAUAUAUUUAACCGCAUGGUUCAAUAGUGUAAUACGGUUUUGCUGUCACUUCUAGAUGUAUCCUCGCUGCAUUGGUUAGUUGGUAAGGUAACGGCUUACCAAGGCAACCAUGCGUAGCCGACCUGAGAGAGGGAUAGCCGACAUGGGAGGGUAGACGGGGACAAGAGUACUAAGGGAGGGAGCAGAAGCGAAUGUGCGGCAGUAGGCGAAAGCAUGACGGAACAACGGCGCGUGAGUGACGAAGGUCUUCGGAGCGGAAAAAUCGGUUAUGGGGGAAGAACAAAUGUGGAAGUGAAUAAACACGUCGUGACGGUACCUAGACAGAAAGCCACGGCUAACUACGUG
rnacentral:rRNA from 1 species